GGAGGGUGCCGGUCAGCGGAGCCGUGCGAUGUAUUUGAAAAGCAAUCAGUCCGACCUUCCCCCAUAGAUUCAUCUGGCCUGAAAAUCAUAUGCAUGGUUUUUCCUCUUUCCUGCUCUGUAGCUGACAUCAGGGGAGCAAACUGAACACAGGAAAAUGGAAAUCAACAUUUGAAACUUUUAAAUGGAAGCUUUAUUGGGGUUCCACAUAUGGAAAACUGCAAAUAGCAGAAGUGUGUGACUUGAUAAAUUAAUCUGGAGUGAUCACAUCCUCUAACUGCCUCCCAGGACAAGAAGGAGAAUGUGAACAAUGCUCCUGAAGACCCCUUUCCCUCAAAGAAUCACUGCAGUUGAAGAAAAAAUGCUCCAUGUCCCCUCUGCCGGUUGGUAUUUAUCAAAGAUGAUGGAGGAAGAGAGACAAAGUGCUGGAUGUGUGUGUUAAUCAAGAGUUGUCAGGACUCUGCCUCUAAAAGAAAGUGCUAAAAUGAUGCUUUUGACAAGACUUUUCUCAAAGUGGAUGCAGUCUAAGGGUUGGAAAACAAGUCCCAAUCAGGCUAGGUGUGACUUGUCGCCUGCUUUCGUAAAUAAAGUUUUAUUGGCUCACAGACA